GGGUAUGUAGCUCAGCGGAAGAGCGCUCGCCUCACACGCGAGCGGUCGCAGGUUCGAACCCUGCCAUACCCACCA
rnacentral:tRNA from 1 species